UCAGUUGUGAAAGUUUGCGGCUCAACCGUAAAAUUGCAGUUGAAACUGGCAGUCUUGAGUACAGUAGAGGUGGGCGGAAUUCGUGGUGUAGCGGUGAAAUGCUUAGAUAUCACGAAGAACUCCGAUUGCGAAGGCAGCUCACUAGACUGUUACCGACACUGAUGCUCGAAAGUGUGGGUAUCAAACAGGAUUAGAUACCCUGGUAGUCCACACAGUAAACGAUGAAUACUCGCUGUUUGCGAUAUACAGUAAGCGGCCAAGCGAAAGCAUUAAGUAUUCCACCUGGGGAGUACGCCGGCAACGGUGAAACUCAAAGGAAUUGACGGGGGCCCGCACAAGCGGAGGAACAUGUGGUUUAAUUCGAUGAUACGCGAGGAACCUUACCCGGGCUUAAAUUGCAACAGAAUAUAUUGGAAACAGUAUAGCCGUAAGGCUGUUGUGAAGGUGCUGCAUGGUUGUCGUCAGCUCGUGCCGUGAGGUGUCGGCUUAAG
rnacentral:rRNA from 1 species